GCAGAAGCUUAUCCGUCACAGUUCUCUGUACUCUCCCAACAACAGCAGAAAAUGGACACAUCUCAGGCAUCAGUGUCGUUCAAGGACGUGACUGUGGAAUUCACCCAAGAGGAGUGGCAGCAAAUGGGUCCUAUUCAGAGGACCCUGUAUAGAGAUGUGAUGCUGGAGAACUAAAACAACCUAGUCUCAGUGGGGAACUGCAUUUUCAAACCAGCCGUAAUCUUCAAGUUGGAGCAAGGAGAGGAGCCUUGGUUCUUAGAGGAAGAAUUCUCAAACCAGAGCCACCGAGAAGAUUACAGAGAUGAUGACCUGAUGAAGAGGAACAAGAAAAUCCAAGAUAAACACUUGCAGGAAAUAAUAUUCAUCGAUAAUAAACCAUUGACUGGAGAGGAAGAAGAAGUUUUGGGAAAACAGUUUAAUCUGCACAUAGCUCCUGUUUCAACAAAAAUAUCUUGUAAAUAUGACUCAUGGGGAAACUCAGACCCAGCAGGUGAACGGAAGUAUUAG